UUGUACCUUCUUGAUCCACUGCAGCUUCUUCCAGUCUCAGGAAGACAUCCUCCAGGGUCGUCAUGCUAACUCCAUAAUUGAUGAUUCCCUGGUCAGAGCAGCUGUCGAGGCCCCUGAAGAGAUCUGCAUGAUGGAGUCAUUCUAUUGGAUUCAUGCCUAUUCCCAGACACUGGUCACUACAGCUGAAGUGCAUACCUUAGGUGAUAGCCGAUCCCCCACUUAUUCUUCAAGAACAAAGAGGAGCCGACGCACUUCAGCCUCCCAUGUGAGAUAAAAGCCUUGCGGUCUAAAGAGGAAAAAAAAA